CUCCCAGUUCCUCCCAGGUCCUCAUUACUGCAGACAUGACCCCUCUGCUCAUCUCGGUGUUGCUGGCUGCAGCGGGUCUCGAAUGCAGAGCACAGACGGACAGUGUGCUUCAACCAGAAGGUGAAGAUGUGGUAGCUGCUGAAGGAGAGACUAGGACCCUGGGCUGUCUGUACAACACCAGCGCAUCCAACCAUUAUCUCUACUGGUACAAACAGGACGGAGGCAGCAGCCCCAAAUUCCUCCUGAGUCGCUUUAAGGUUGGAGACGGAAAAACUGCAGCGGAGAAGAGAUUUUCAUCCAGCCUGGACCCUUCUGUUAGAUCAGUUCCUCUGACGAUCCAGGAUCUCCAGCUGUCAGACUCUGCUGUGUACUACUGUGCUCUGCAGCCCACAGUGACAGGAAACAGCACAACUCUGGUGGGGCUGACCACGGUGCGCAGGUGA